GUUUAUGGCUAUACCACCCUAAACAUGCCCAAUCUCAUCUGAUCUUGGAAGCUAAGUUAAGCCUUGUUAGUACUUAGACAAGAGAUCUUAAGUGAAAUAAGCCAGACA
ensembl:rRNA 5S_rRNA 5S ribosomal RNA